rnacentral:rRNA from 1 species
AGAGUUUGAUCAUGGCUCAGAACGUACGCUGGCGGCACGCCUAACACAUGCAAGUCGAACGAAGUAGCAAUACUUAGUGGCAGACGGGUGAGUAACAUGUGGGUAUCUGCCCUUUGGCCUGGAAUAACACGAGGAAACUUGUGCUAAUACCGGAUAAGUCUUUACGGAGAAAGCUUUAUGCACCAUUGGAUGAGCCCGCACUUGAUUAGUUAGUUGGUAGGGUAAUGGCCUACCAAGACUGUGAUCAAUAGCUGAUUUGAGAGGAUGAUCAGCCACAUUGGGACUGAGACACGGCCCAAACUCCUACGGGAGGCAGCAGUGGGGAAUCUUGCACAAUGGAGGAAACUCUGAUGCAGCGAUGCCGCGUGAGUGAAGAAGGCCCUUGGGUUGUAAAGCUCUUUCGUCGGGGAAGAAAAUGACUGUACCCGAAUAAGAAGGUCCGGCUAACUUCGUGCCAGCAGCCGCGGUAAUACGAAGGGACCUAGCGUAGUUCGGAAUUGCUGGGCUUAAAGAGUUCGUAGGUGGUUGAAAAAGUUGGUGGUGAAAUCCCAGAGCUUAACUCUGGAACUGCCAUCAAAACUUUUCAGCUAGAGUAUGAUAGAGGGAAGCAGAAUUUCUAGUGUAGAGGUGAAAUUCGUAGAUAUUAGAAAGAAUACCAAUUGCGAAGGCAGCUUUCUGGAUCAUUACUGACACUGAGGAACGAAAGCAUGGGUAGCGAAGAGGAUUAGAUACCCUCGUAGUCCAUGCCGUAAACGAUGUGUGUUAGACGUUGGAAAUUUAUUUUCAGUGUCGCAGCGAAAGCGAUAAACACACCGCCUGGGGAGUACGAC